CAGAGAUAAAAACACGGUCCGGUUGGUAGUCCGGACGCGACGGGGAACCGCCGCCAGUAACCUGCCUCCUUUGGUUGUCCGUUCUCUGUG
rnacentral:ncRNA from 1 species